ACAUGCCUCUGCUGUACGCCUCGGCCACAGGACACAGAGCACUAAGAAGACAGAGAACAGCCCUGCAAAGCUAAUCUGCUCAACCUUCACCUACUGGGUUCAAUGAAUAUGAAAAGCUGCCUUCCUGAAACUUUUCCUUCAAAGAGGGAAUGAUCUCCUGGAAUUCAAGCUUCUACAAGGUGGCUACCUGGUGUUUUCCACUUUUGCCGUCUCCUAAAAAGCAUCAUUCAAGCCUUGCCCUUUCAACCCACUGAACACAUAAACAUGCUUUCUCCUUAACUGAACUUAUGGCCACGAUGAACUUGAACUCUGAGAUUCACAGAGGAGAGUUUGUUUUAACAGCUGCUUUUACAAUGAAGCCCUGGAGUUACUACUCUCAAGACCCCUGGUUCUGAUAGGCCAUCUUUUCACUGUCCUCUGCAUUUUCUAAUGCCCAGCUGUCAAGGAACACCCACUGAAGUUUUCCAAAACAAAGGCACGAAACACAAGAAAGGCAAGAGAAUGCUAAUCACCAGAUGCAUGGGCAUCCUAUGGGGGAACCCCUUACAUGUGGAAUACGGU
rnacentral:lncRNA from 1 species